UUACUUAGAAAUUGAAACAUACAAACCAAACAUCCAGAAAUUUACCCAAAAAUUGAAACAUACAAACCAAACAUACAACCCAGAAUUUAAUUUACGCAGAAAUUUAAUUUCUUUUUACCUAGAAUUUGAAACAUACAAACCAAGAAUUUCUGAAAGAUUGCCAAACAUCCCAGACUCCAAUUUCUUCAAAAACAAUGUUCAUCACUUACAGGAGAAAUUGUCGGCGUAUCAUCAUCGGAAGCUUAACUGAAUUGAAC
rnacentral:lncRNA from 1 species